rnacentral:misc_RNA from 1 species
AGCAGCCGCGGUAAUUCCAGUUCCAAUAGCGUAUAUUAAAGUUGUUGCAGUUAAAAAGCUCGUAGUUGAAUUUCGGGGUUAGUAGGUUGGUCAUGCCUCUGGUAUGUACUGGUCUCACUGAUUCCUCCUUCCUGAUGAGCCGUAAUGCCAUUAAUUUGGUGUUGCGGGGAAUUUGGACUGUUAACUUUGAAAAAUUAGAGUGUUUAAAGCAAGCUAACGCUUGAAUACAUUAGCAUGGAAUAAUGAAAUAGGACGUUCGAUCCUAUUUUGUUGGUUUCUAGGAUUGACGUAAUGAUUAAUAGGGAUAGUUGGGGGCAUUAGUAUUCAAUUGUCAGAGGUGAAAUUCUUGGAUUUAUUGAAGACUAACUACUGCGAAAGCAUUUGCCAAGGAUGUUUUCAUUAAUCAAGAACGAAAGUUAGGGAUCGAAGACGAUCAGAUACCGUCGUAGUCUUAACCAUAAACUAUGCCGACUAGGGAUCGGAUGAUGUUUAAUUUUUUAAUGUACUCAUUCGGCGCCUU